GGCUGUGAGGGAUGUUUAGCUGAGACAUCAGUCACCAGCUGAUGGCCCAGGGGGUGGGAGUUCUGCCCAUGUGACUGGCUAGGCAGGAGUCUCUUUCUCCCUCAUUACUCUCUACGUGCUCAGUUGAAGAGGAAGAAGGCAAUUCCCAAGUAGACAAAGAAUGUUCUUUGGUUGUGUCUACAGAGGAGCUGUCUCUCCUGCUAAAAACUCCAGGAAGCUCUAGAAAAUGGGCACCUCUGCUAAGCCCCAAGACAUCCUGUGCAGGUACACUGAGUCCCACGUGCCUGGCCUACUUCUUU
rnacentral:snRNA from 1 species